AGACGCAAGACCGUGAGGUGGAGCAAAACUUAUAAAACCUAUCUCAGUUCGGAUUGUAGGCUGCAACUCGCCUACAUGAAGCUGGAGUUGCUAGUAAUCGCGAAUCAGAAUGUCGCGGUGAAUACGUUCCCGGGCCUUGUACACACCGCCCGUCACACCAUGAGAGCUGGUAACACCCGAAGUCCGUGAGGUAACCGUAAGGAGCCAGCGGCCGAAGGUGGGAUUAGUGAUUGGGGUGAAGUCGUAACAAGGUAGCCGUAGGAGAACCUGCGGCUGGAUCACCUCCUUUCUAAGGAGA
rnacentral:rRNA from 1 species